GGAGGGAUUCAUCCGUAGGAAAAAUCUCAUAUUUAAUUAAUUUUGACCAGGUGUUUCAUCAUAAGGCAAAUCAUGUUCCAAUUGUGAUAGAAAAUUUUAUACAAAAGAUUAUAGAAAAUACUCUAUAUUUAAAACAAACAUGAUCACUUUGGCUUAUGAAAGUUUAAAAUAUAUUAAAUGGAAUGAUUACAGAACACAAAAUAUAUGUGAAGAAAAUUAAAAGUAUAUUAUGGUAUGUCUCAUAGUGACCCACAUAAUAAGCACUAUUUAUAUUUUAGAAUUAUAAAUGUGAAUUUAAGUUCAAUAUCAAACACAUGUUUAGAAUGCCAUUCACCAAACUU
rnacentral:lncRNA from 1 species